rnacentral:rRNA from 1 species
AGAACGAACGCUGGCGGCAGGCUUAACACAUGCAAGUCGAACGAGUGGCGCACGGGUGCGUAACGCGUGGGAACCUACCCUUAGUACGGAAUAACUGAGGGAAACUUCAGCUAAUACCGUAUAGGAUGGGCCCGCGUCAGAUUAGGUAGUUGGUAGGGUAACGGCCUACCAAGCCGACGAUCUGUAGCUGGUCUGAGAGGAUGAUCAGCCACACUGGGACUGAGACACGGCCCAGACUCCUACGGGAGGCAGCAGUGGGGAAUAUUGGACAAUGGGGGAAACCCUGAUCCAGCCAUGCCGCGUGAGUGAAGAAGGCCUUCGGGUUGUAAAGCUCUUUCGGCGGGGAUGACGGUACCCGCAUAAGAAGCCCCGGCUAACUUCGUGCCAGCAGCCGCGGUAAUACGAAGGGGGCUAGCGUUGUUCGGAAUUACUGGGCGUAAAGCGCGCGUAGGCGGCGAUCUUUGUCAGAGGUGAAAUCCCGAGGCUCAACUUCGGAAUUGCCUUUGAAACGGGAUUGCUUGAGUCCGAGAGAGGAUGGCGGAAUUCCUAGUGUAGAGGUGAAAUUCGUAGAUAUUAGGAAGAACACCGGUGGCGAAGGCGGCCAUCUGGCUCGGUACUGACGCUCAGGCGCGAAAGCGUGGGGAUCAAACAGGAUUAGAUACCCUGGUAGUCCACGCUGUAAACGAUGAGUGCUAGUUGUUGGUGACGCAGCUAACGCGUUAAGCACUCCGCC